CAGUCUGCAUGGAGCCGGCCUUGAAAUACCACCCUUUAAUGUUUGAUGUUCUAACGUGGACCCGUGAUCCGGGUUGCGGACAGUGUCUGGUGGGUAGUUUGACUGGGGCGGUCUCCUCCUAAAGAGUAACGGAGGAGCACGAAGGUUGGCUAAUCCUGGUCGGACAUCAGGAGGUUAGUGCAAUGGCAUAAGCCAGCUUGACUGCGAGCGUGACGGCGCGAGCAGGUGCGAAAGCAGGUCAUAGUGAUCCGGUGGUUCUGAAUGGAAGGGCCAUCGCUCAACGGAUAAAAGGUACUCCGGGGAUAACAGGCUGAUACCGCCCAAGAGUUCAUAUCGACGGCGGUGUUUGGCACCUCGAUGUCGGCUCAUCACAUCCUGGGGCUGAAGUAGGUCCCAAGGGUAUGGCUGUUCGCCAUUUAAAGUGGUACGCGAGCUGGGUUUAGAACGUCGUGAGACAGUUCGGUCCCUAUCUGCCGUGGGCGCUGGAGAACUGAGGGGGGCUGCUCCUAGUACGAGAGGACCGGAGUGGACGCAUCACUGGUGUUCGGGUUGUCAUGCCAAUGGCACUGCCCGGUAGCUAAAUGCGGAAGAGAUAAGUGCUGAAAGCAUCUAAGCACGAAACUUGCCCCGAGAUGAGUUCUCCCUGAGAC
rnacentral:rRNA from 1 species